AAAAAUACACAUUUAGACCUAGACCUAUAUAAUAGGGGUAACACCUAAAUGAGCUGGGGGGAGACACUAAAAAAGCGCCGUUUCUAUCGAGACCCUCUACCCAUAACGUCUUCUCCUUCAUCGGAUUCCCCCAUCUUUUUCUUCACAGAAAAUCCCCUGAUGUAACGCGAACAGACCCCCCUCACGUAGCUUCUCCAUCGUCUUCUUCAUGGAGACAGCAAGAAAACUCCAUUGAAUCUCCUCCACCUCAAAAACAUUCAGCUACAGCACGUCAAAACGACCCCCAUCGGUUUUGCUCUGCUUCUUCCCCAUUUUCGCAACUUGAGACAUCCUUCUAAUUCCCAAACAAAUACAGCGACCAAACAACUCAAACCAGCUGCUAUUCCUCGGAAACCAGACGCACGACGUCACCGGCGAUCACCAUCAUUUCUUUCAAACACACACACACAUACACACUCAGCCAUAGAGGAAAUAGAGAAAGACAUAAGGAAAAGAACUAACCUAAUACAAGGGUGAACAGACAGAAACAGAGUGAGAAAAUCCGAUGACAACAGUCAGUCGUUUCAGUUAUCGCUGAGAGUCGGGGUCCAUCCGAGGUUCGUCAAUUUCUGGCGAGCUUCGAGGUCGUUGAAGGUCGUGGUCCGAGGUCUCUGUUCAACGCCAUUUUCUGCCGAGUGAAACCCAUUCCGGUUCACGUCCGACCUUUAUUUGACAUUUUUGAACUGUUUCUUUACUGUCAAUAGGUAAGCCUCAUCACCUUUGCCUUAUGUAUUUUCCAGCUUGCCUAUGCCCUCUUUUGUUGAAUGGUAUUUGACAUGGACAUAUUUCAACAAUGUAUUUUCUUUAUUGAAAUGUUUAUUUUAUGGUUAGUUUUAUUUGUUCAUCUUGCACUUGAUAUAAAUCUAUCAAAGAUAUGCUGUUGUGGGGAUUUUGCACUUCUUAUGAUAUUAGGAAGUUCCAAUAGAUAGUUCCGGAUGAUUUUUCCAUUCUCUGUUGCUUUUACUAAUUUCCAAAUUUUAAUUUCCAAUCUUUGGUAGUGUGGAUCAUGAUGAGUUUGCUGGAGAAGAUUUUUCUUAAUUACGUGAUAGUAUUCAACGAUAUUUUGAGGCAAGGAAGUAUGCUUUUCCUCUGUUGUUUUACAAGUAAUUCAUAUCGUUAGUAUUCUUUUGGGUACGCUCUUAAUCUACUAUCGUGGUUGUGGAUAUGUUCGCGUGACAUAAUUACGAUUCCUUAAGGAUGGGUUGAGGUAUACUAUAUUAGCCAAAAGACAUAGUUUAUGGCCCUCAAAAGCUGAGUUUUGAAUUUCCUUAAAAUUAGAAUCGAGGUGUGUCGUGCCAAAUAAAAUUUCAAAAUUGCAUGACCCUCACUUAAUUAAUAUUUUAUCCUUAGAAAUCGAGGCGCGCCAUUUAGUUGAAUUUUCCAUGGCCCUCGCAAGGUUGCAAAUUCGUAGUGUUUUAGGCACGCCAUUUUAAUAAUUUACCUCCCUAAACUCGGGUGUGCAUUUAUGUGACCCAAAUCCAAAACUCAACAAUGUUAUAUAAAAUGUGUUGCGGACUGCGGGUGCAUUUAUGUGACGUGGUUCAAGACAUAUUUUAAAUGACGUUGCAAAUCUUCUUUAAAAAUGGUUAAAAGCGGUUUAAAGUUAAAAUGCACAUA
rnacentral:lncRNA from 1 species